ensembl:lncRNA
CCGGCGCUCGCCGGGUAAGACGCACCGGAGCCGGGAGCGAGAGCUCGAGGCCCUGAGCGCCGAGCCUCGGCUGCCGGCCCAGGCAGGUGAGUGGCCUCGGCGCCUCCCGGCUCGCGCGCCCGAAACGGGCGCGGCCUGGCCCGGACCCGCGGUCUCUCCGUACGUCUGUUUCUGCUCCCUGCCUGUAGCUUACGACUCAUCAACGCGUAAAACGCGAUCGCAGCGAAACCUCCAGCCUGUCUUGCCGCCUCAGAGCCCAGCAGGGGCUUCUCAAAGACAACGCGGCACCGGGGACAAUCCCCGGUGUCCGGCAAGGCCGCCCCAUGGAGUUCAAAGUCGGGGAUGGAGCGCGGGAGGCCCCGGACUCGCAGGCCGGCCGCCAGGCGGUGAACGCCGGAGCCGAGCGGAAGCUUACCGCCGACCGCGAUCCCAGCGUCGGUUCGCGGGGAGACGGUCGUUCCGAGCUUUCAGGAGAGCAGGAACGAACCCGCAGGGAGAGGAAAGCAGGGAGCCAGGCAGCUCGGCCCCCAGCCGGCCAGUAAUGGGGGGUCCCUCGUGUGUCGGCUGGACAGACCGAUGGAUGCUAACCAGGGGCCUCCCCGACUGAGCAGUCAGACCAUGGGAUCCCUGCUGAGGGAACAAACCUCCAGGGAGGCUGAAGGCAGCUCCCAGCUCCUAGGAUGGGCUGGGCUGGGGUGGGGAUCCGGGGCUGCAGAGAGCGGAUUUAUGUCAACUUAGGG